UUGGAGGGCAAGUCUGGUGCCAGCAGCCGCGGUAAUUCCAGCUCCAAUAGCGUAUAUUAAAGUUGUUGCAGUUAAAAAGCUCGUAGUUGAAUUUCGGGAUCAAAUUGUCGGUCGUGCCAAUUGGUACGCACUGGCAUUAUUGGUUCCUAUCUUCUGAAAAACCGCGAUUGUCAUUAAUUUGGUGUCAUGGGGAAUCAGGACUGUUACUUUGAAAAAAUUAGAGUGUUUAAAGCAGGCGCACGCUUGAAUACAUUAGCAUGGAAUAAUGAAAUAGGACGUUUGAUUCUAUUUUGUUGGUUUCUAGGAUCGACGUAAUGAUUAAUAGGGAUAGUUGGGGGCAUUAGUAUUCAAUUGUCAGAGGUGAAAUUCUUGGAUUUAUUGAAGACUAACUACUGCGAAAGCAUUUGCCAAGGAUGUUUUUCAUUAAUCAAGAACGAAAGUUAGGGGGAUCGAAGACGAUCAGAUACCGUCGUAGUCUUAACCAUAAACUAUGCCGACUAGGGAUCGGAUGAUGUUAAUUUAUAAUGACUC
rnacentral:rRNA from 1 species